rnacentral:tRNA from 1 species
UGCGGGGUGGAGCAGUUGGCAGCUCGUUGGGCUCAUAACCCAAAGGUCGUAGGUUCAAGUCCUGCCCCCGCUACCA